rnacentral:rRNA from 1 species
CGGACGGGUGAGGAAUACAUCGGAAAAAAAUCUGUCGUGGGGGAUAACGUAGGGAAACUUACGCUCAUACCGCAUACGACCUACGGGUGAAAGCAGGGGAUCUUCGGACCUUGCGCGAUUGAAUGAGCCGAUGUCGGAUUAUCUAGUUGGCGGGGUAAAGGCCCACCAAGGCGACGAUCCGUAUCUGGUCUGAGAGGAUGAUCAGCCACACUGGAACUGAGACACGGUCCACACUCCUACGGGAGGCAGCAGUGGGGAAUAUUGGACAAUGGGCGCAAGCCUGAUCCAGCCAUACCGCGUGGGUGAAGAAAGCCUUCGGGUUGUAAAGCCCUUUUGUUGGGAAAGAAAUCCAGCUGGGUAAUACCCGGUUGGGAUGACGGUACCCAAAGAAUAAACACCGGCUAACUUCUUGCCAGCAGCCGCGGUAAUACGAAGGGUGCAAGCGUUACUCGGAAUUACUGGGCGUAAAGCGUGCGUAGGUGGUCGUUUAAGUCCUUUUUGAAAGCCCUGGGCUCAACCUGGGAACUGCAGUGGAUACUGGGCGACUAGAGUGUGGUAGAGGGU